rnacentral:rRNA from 1 species
AUUGAACGCUGGCGGCAUGCUUUACACAUGUAAGUCGAACGGCAGCGCGGGCUUUGGCCUGGCGGCGAGUGGCGAACGGGUGAGUAAUACAUCGGAACGUGCCCAGUAGUGGGGGAUAGCUCGGCGAAAGCCGGAUUAAUACCGCAUACGACCUGAGGGUGAAAGCGGGGGAUCUUCGGACCUCGCGCUAUUGGAGCGGCCGAUGGCAGAUUAGCUAGUUGGUGGGGUAAAGGCCUACCAAGGCGACGAUCUGUAGCUGGUCUGAGAGGACGACCAGCCACACUGGGACUGAGACACGGCCCAGACUCCUACGGGAGGCAGCAGUGGGGAAUUUUGGACAAUGGGCGAAAGCCUGAUCCAGCAAUGCCGCGUGUGUGAUGAAGGCCUUCGGGUUGUAAAGCACUUUUGGCGGGAACGAAAAGGACUGUGCCAAUACCACGGUUCGAUGACGGUACCCGCAGAAUAAGCACCGGCUAACUACGUG